GCCUCUGUAGUCUAAUGUUGAGACGUCUCUGCCACAUAUAUGGUUAGUAUUGCUCUUGACAGAGAAGUUGAGGGUUCGAGUCUCUCCAGAGGCG